UACGUAGGGUGCAAGCGUUGUCCGGAAUUAUUGGGCGUAAAGAGCUCGUAGGCGGUCUGUCGCGUCGGAUGUGAAAACCCAGGGCUCAACCCUGGGCCUGCAUUCGAUACGGGCAGACUAGAGUUCGGUAGGGGAGACUGGAAUUCCUGGUGUAGCGGUGAAAUGCGCAGAUAUCAGGAGGAACACCGGUGGCGAAGGCGGGUCUCUGGGCCGAUACUGACGCUGAGGAGCGAAAGCGUGGGGGAGCGAACAGG
rnacentral:rRNA from 1 species